CCUACGGGUGGCAGCAGUCGAGAAUAAUUCUCAAUGGGGGCAACCCUGAUGGUGCGAAGCCGCGUGGGGGAAUGAAGGUCUUCGGAUUGUAAACCCCUGUCAUGUGGGAGCAAAUUCAAAAGAUAGUACCACAAGAGGAAUAGACGGCUAAAUCUGUGCCAGCAGCCGCGGUAAUACAGAGGGCUCAAGCGUUGUUCGGAAUCACUGGGCGUAAAGCGUGCGUAGGCUGUUUCGUAAGUCGUGUGUGAAAGGCGCGGGCUCAACCCGCGGACGGCACAUGAUACUGCGAGACUAGAGUAAGGGAGGGGGAACCGGAAUUCGCGGUGUAGCAGUGAAAUGCGUAGAUAUCGAGAGGAACACUCGUGGCGAAGGCGGGUUCCUGGACAUUAACUGACGCUGAGGCACGAAGGCCAGGGGAGCGAAAGGGAUUAGAUACCCCUGUAGUC
rnacentral:rRNA from 1 species